rnacentral:rRNA from 1 species
AGAGUUUGAUCCUGGCUCAGAAUCAACGCUGGCGGCGUGCCUAACACAUGCAAGUCGAACGAGAAAGUGGAGCAAUCCAUGAGUACAGUGGCGUACGGGUGAGUAACACGUGACUACCUACCCUCGAGUGGGGAAUAACCUCGGGAAACCGGGGCUAAUACCGCAUAACAUCUACGGAUCAAAUGCGUAAGCAGCUUGAGGAGGGGGUCGCGGCCGAUUAGCUGGUUGGUGAGGUAAUGGCCCACCAAGGCAAUGAUCAGUAUCCGGCCUGAGAGGGCGCACGGACACACUGGAACUGAAACACGGUCCAGACUCCUACGGGAGGCAGCAGUGGGGAAUUUUGCGCAAUGGGGGAAACCCUGACGCAGCAACGCCGCGUGGAGGAUGAAGUCCCUUGGGACGUAAACUCCUUUCGACCCGGACGAAUAAUGACGGUACGGGUGGAAGAAGCCCCGGCUAACUUCGUGCCAGCAGCCGCGGUAAUACGAGGGGGGCAAGCGUUGUUCGGAAUUAUUGGGCGUAAAGGGCGCGUAGGCGGUGCGGUAAGUCUCCUGUGAAAACUAUGGGCUCAACUCAUAACCUGCAGGGGAAACUGCCGUGCUGGAGUGUGGGAGAGGAGAGUGGAAUUCCCGGUGUAGCGGUGAAAUGCGUAGAUAUCGGGAGGAACACCCGUGGCGAAAGCGGCUCUCUGGACCACAACUGACGCUGAGGCGCGAAAGCUAGGGGAGCAAACAGGAUUAGAUACCCUGGUAGUCCUAGCCCUAAACGAUGGAUGUUUGGUGUGGUGGGUACCCAAUCCCACCGUGCCGGAGCUAACGCGUUAAGUAGAGCGCCUGGGGAGUACGAGCGCAAGCUUAAAACUCAAAGGAAUUGACGGGGACCCGCACAAGCGGUGGAACAUGUGGUUUAAUUCGUCGCUAAGCGAAAGACCUCACCGAGGCUUGACAUACCAAUCGUAUCCCUAAGAAACUAGGGAGUCAGUUCGGCUGGAUUGGAUACAGGUGUUGCAUGGCAGUCGUCAGCUCGUGUCGUGAGAUGUUGGGUUAAGUCCUUCAACGAGCGCAACCCUCAUUGUAUGUUAUUUUUACAUGCGAAACUGCCCUGGUUAACGGGGAGGAAGGUGGGGAUGACGUCAAGUCAGCAUGGCCCUUACGCCUCGGGCCACACACGUGUUACAAUGGCCGGAACAAUGAGUCGCAAUACCGCAAGGUGGAGCUAAUCUCCAAAUCCGGUCUCAGUUCGGAUUGAGGGCUGCAACUCGCCCUCAUGAAGUUGGAAUCGCUAGUAAACGCAAAUCAGCACGUUGCGUUGAAUACGUUCUCGGAUCUUGUACACACCGCACGUCACACCACGAAAGUCAGAAACGCCCAAAGUACGCGUAGCGUCCUAAGGUGGGUUUGAUGAUUGGGGUGAAGUCGUAACAAGGUAUCC